rnacentral:rRNA from 1 species
AUACGUAGGUGACAAGCGUUAUCCGGAUUUACUGGGCGUAAAGGGCGUGUAGGCGGUCUUGCAAGUCAGAAGUGAAAUUCCUGAGCUCAACUCGGGCGCUGCUUCUGAAACUGCAGGACUUGAGUGCUGGAGGGGAUAGCGGAAUUCCUAGUGGAGCGGUAAAAUGCGCAGAUAUUAGGAAGAACACCGGUGGCGAAGGCGGCUAUCUGGACAGUAACUGACGCUGAGGCGCGAAAGCGUGGGGAGCAAACAGGAUUAGAUACCCUGGUAGUCCACGCGGUAAACGAUGAAUGCUAGGUGUAGGGGGUAUCGACUCCCUCUGUGCCGCAGUUAACACAAUAAGUAUUCCGCCUGGGGAGUACGGCCGCAAGGUUGAAACUCAAAUGAAUUGACGGGG